rnacentral:rRNA from 1 species
UACGGAAGGCAGCAGUGGGGAAUAUUGCACAAUGGGCGAAAGCCUGAUGCAGCUAUGCCGCGUGUAUGAAGAAGGCCUUAGGGUUGUAAAGUACUUUCAUCGGGGAGGAAAAACAAAACUAAUAAUUUUAUUUCUUGACGUUACCCGAAAAAGAAGCACCGGCUAACUCCGUGCCAGCAGCCGCGGUAAUACGGAGGGUGCUAGCGUUAAUCAGAAUUACUGGGCGUAAAGAGCACGUAGGUGGUUUUUUAAGUCAGAUGUGAAACCCCUGGGCUUAACCUAGGAACUGCAUUUUGAAACUGAAAUACUAGAGUAUCGUAGAGGGAGGUAGAAUUCUAGGUGUAGCGGUGAAAUGCGUAGAUAUCUGGAGGAAUACCUGUGGCGAAAGCGGCCUCCUAAACGAAUACUGACACUGAGGUGCGAAAGCGUGGGGAGCAAACAGGGAUUAGAUACC